rnacentral:rRNA from 1 species
AACGAACGCUGGCGGCAUGCCUAACACAUGCAAGUCGAACGAGACCUGCGGGUACUGUUGCGCACGGGUGCGUCAGGGGACGGAACAUGCACUUAGGGUCGGUAUACCUCUCCGCAAGGGGUGCUAAUACGGGAUAAUGUCUACGGCCCCAUGAUUUAUUGCCUUUGGAUGGGCCCGCGUUGGAUUAGCUAGUUGGUAGGGCAAAAGCCUACCAAGGCGACGUUCCAUAGCUGGUCUGAGAGGAUGAUCAGCCACACUGGGACCGAGGCACGGCCCAGACUCCGACGGGAGGCAGCAGUGGGGAAGAGUGGACAAGGGGCGAAAGACGGAUCCAGCAAUGCCGCGUGAGUGAUGAAGGCCUUAGGGUUGUAAAGCUCUUUUACCCGGGAUGAUAAGGACAGAACCGGGAGAAUAAGCACCGGCUAACUCCGU